AUUGAACGCUGGCGGCAGGCCUAACACAUGCAAGUCGAACGAGUGGCGGACGGGUGAGUAAUGUCUGGGAAACUGCCCGAUGGAGGGGGAUAACUACUGGAAACGGUAGCUAAUACCGCAUACCAUCGGAUGUGCCCAGAUGGGCUUAGCUUGUAGGUGGGGUAACGGCUCACCUAGGCGACGAUCCCUAGCUGGUCUGAGAGGAUGACCAGGCACACUGGAACUGAGACACGGUCCCGACUCCUACGGGAGGCAGCAGGUGGGAAUAUUGCACAAGGGGCGUAAGUCUGAUUGAGCCAUGCCGCGUGUAUGGAGAAGGCCUUCGGGUUGUAAAGUACUUUCAGCGGGGAGGCGUUACCCGCAGAAGAAGCACCGGCUAACUCCGUGCCAGCCGCCGCGGUAAUAC
rnacentral:rRNA from 1 species